UUUGGCACCUCGAUGUCGGCUCAUCACAUCCUGGGGCUGUAGCCGGUCCCAAGGGUAUGGCUGUUCGCCAUUUAAAGUGGUACGUGAGCUGGGUUCAAAACGUCGUGAGACAGUUUGGUCCCUAUCUGCAGUGGGCGUUGGAAGUUUGAGGGGGGCUGCUCCUAGUACGAGAGGACCGGAGUGGACGCACCUCUGGUGUACCGGUUGUCACGCCAGUGGCAUCGCCGGGUAGCUAAGUGCGGAAGAGAUAACCGCUGAAAGCAUCUAAGCGGGAAACUCGCCUCAAGAUGAGACUUCCCGGGGACUUGAUCCCCCUGAAGGGUCGCGGAAGACUACCGCGUUGAUAGGCCGGAUGUGUAAGAGGAGCAAUCCUUUGAGCUAACCGGUACUAAUUGCCCGUGCGGCUUGAUCCUAUAACUCUGAGUGGG
rnacentral:rRNA from 1 species